rnacentral:rRNA from 1 species
UACGUAGGGUGCAAGCGUUAAUCGGAAUUACUGGGCGUAAAGCGUGCGCAGGCGGCUUUGCAAGACAGAUGUGAAAUCCCCGGGCUUAACCUGGGAACUGCAUUUGUGACUGCAUGGCUCGAGUACGGCAGAGGGGGAUGGAAUUCCGCGUGUAGCAGUGAAAUGCGUAGAUAUGCGGAGGAACACCGAUGGCGAAGGCAGUCCCCUGGGCCUGUACUGACGCUCAUGCACGAAAGCGUGGGGAGCAAACAGG